rnacentral:tRNA from 2 species
GGGGGGAUUCCAGAGUGGCCAAAUGGAUCAGACUGUAAAUCUGCUGUCUUCGGACUUCGGAGGUUCGAAUCCUCCUCCCCCCA